GGGCGCCUGCAGCAUGACGGUCAAGGCCCUCACGCCCGUGCGCACAGUGAAUCUGGUCGCGCCCCUGGCCCACAAGGCCACGGACAUGCACGCCACGGUAACCGGCGCCCCCACGGGCGCAAGGACCGGUGCAGCCGCCCCGCUGAUCGCCCGCACUGGGCUUCGGCAGGCCGGCCAACACAGCGCGAUGGUUGC
rnacentral:sRNA from 12 species